GCCCGGGUAGCGAAUUGGCAUAGCGGCGUUGCUCAAAACAACGUGUUUUAAGGGUUCGAAUCCCUUCCCGGGUA
rnacentral:tRNA from 1 species